rnacentral:rRNA from 1 species
AUUGAACGCUGGCGGCAGGCCUAACACAUGCAAGUCGAGCGGAGCGGCGGACGGGUGAGUAAUGCCUAGGAAUCUGCCUGGUAGUGGGGGAUAACGUCCGGAAACGGGCGCUAAUACCGCAUACUAUCAGAUGAGCCUAGGUCUGAUUAGCUAGUUGGUGGGGUAAAGGCCUACCAAGGCGACGAUCCGUAACUGGUCGGAGAGGAUGAACAGUCACACUGGAACUGAGACACGGUCCAGACGCCGACGGUGGGCAGCAGUGGGUAUGAUUGGACAAUGGGCGAAAGCCUGAUCCAGCCAUGCGGCGUGUGUGAAGAAGGUCUUCGGAUUGUAAAGCACUUUAAGUUGGGAGGCGUUACCAACAGAAUAAGCACCGGCUAACUUCGUGCCAGCAGCCGCGGUAAUUC